rnacentral:rRNA from 1 species
GUGUCAGCCGCCGCGGUAAUACGAAGGGGGCUAGCGUUGUUCGGAAUUACUGGGCGUAAAGGGCGUGCAGGCGGAUCCGCCAGUCAGAGGUGAAAGCCCCGGGCUUAACCUGGGAAUUGCCUUUGAUACUGUGGAUCUAGAGUUCGGGAGAGGGUCGUGGAAUUCCCAGUGUAGAGGUGAAAUUCGUAGAUAUUGGGAAGAACACCAGUGGCGAAGGCGGCGACCUGGACCGACACUGACGCUGAGGCGCGAAAGCGUGGGGAGCAAACAGGAUUAGAUACCCUGGUAGUCCACGCCGUAAACGAUGUGUGCUAGACGUUGGGGGACCUAGUCCUUCAGUGUCGCAGCUAACGCGUUAAGCACACCGCCUGGGGAGUACGGCCGCAAGGUUAAAACUCAAAUGAAUUGACGGGG